rnacentral:rRNA from 1 species
GCCUCUUGACAAAACAUAAGAGGUCCAGCCUGCCCAGUGACAAAGUUCAACGGCCGCGGUACCCUAACCGUGCGAAGGUAGCAUAAUCACUUGUUCUUUAAAUGAGGACUUGUAUCAACGGCACUACGAGGGCUAUACUGUCUCCUUUUUCUAAUCAGUGAAACUGAUCUCCCCGUGAAGAAGCGGGGAUCAAAAUAUAAGACGAGAAGACCCCAUGGAGCUUUAAACUCACUAUACACCUCUGUGCCUCGAUGCCAUAAAACACAAGAGAUCUGUAUACUAGUUUUAGGUUGGGGGGACCACGGAGUACAAUUUAACCUCCAUAACAAAUGGGCUAACACCCUUAUCCACGAGACACAACUCUAAGAAUUACUAAACUAAUGCUUACGACCCGAUAUUCGAUCAAUGAACCAAGUUACCCUGGGGAUAACAGCGCAAUCUACUUCAAGAGUCCAUAUCGACAAGUAGGUUUACGACCUCG